UUCGUUUGCAAAGUGCACGCAGUGGUAGAAAUCUUAAGU
rnacentral:lncRNA from 1 species